UGAAAAAAAAAGAAAAAAAAAUACAGAAAAAUGAGAAAAUUUUAAAAAAUAUAUUUGUGAGUAAAGGAGUCAAGAAGAGGAUUGAAUUAGAGGUUUGGGUGUGAGUAUACUGUGUUUACACUUGUUCCUAAUUGCUCCUCUAUUUCCCUUGGUUUGUAGCUUCUAAUCCAUAUGUAUCCUUCCUUUUUCCUUGGCCCCAUUACAUCCAUAAAAGACCU
rnacentral:lncRNA from 1 species